rnacentral:tRNA from 1 species
GGAGAUGUGGCUCAAUGGGUAGAGUGCUCAGCUAGCAUGCACAAAGCUCUGGGUUCGAUCCCCAGCACUCCA